rnacentral:rRNA from 1 species
UACGGAGGGAGCUAGCGUUGUUCGGAAUUACUGGGCGUAAAGCGCGCGUAGGCGGCUUUGUAAGUUAGAGGUGAAAGCCCGGGGCUCAACCCCGGAAUUGCCUUUAAGACUGCAUCGCUAGAAUCCAGGAGAGGUGAGUGGAGUUCCGAGUGUAGAGGUGAAAUUCGUAGAUAUUCGGAAGAACACCAGUGGCGAAGGCGGCUCACUGGACUGGUAUUGACGCUGAGGUGCGAAAGCGUGGGGAGCAAACAGG